GAAUGCGGGUGGAGCGGCACCGCCAUGCCCUGCCUGCCCUGCCCUGCCUCGCCAGCGGCGUGCCCGGCAAAAAAAAAAGAACCCAACCCAGGUGCCCCGCUCCAGGGUGGAGCGCGGGAUGGGGACACGCGCGGCUCGGAGCGCGUUCCCAACCUCGGACGGGCGGAUCCCCGCUCCUCGGCCCGGCUCUCCGCGGGACGCGGCCGCAGUGUUUGCAUCCAGAUGAUGGCUGGAUACAGCAUGGGCCUGGUGAGAGCUAGACAGCAGUACCUCUUACUGGAUUUUGAGUCUGUCCAUUAUUUAAUAUCUAAUAACUUGGAUCCAUCCACAGCUGACAGGUCUUAGUGACCUGCUAGGCUUAGUUGGAUGUAGUAUAUGGUAUUUUCCCAAAGGCAGUCUGUUGCAGUCACUCUAGCAUGAUACCACAGCCAUAUCUUAUCCUAGGCAGUGUGUGCUGGGCAGGACUAAUUGAAAAAGGAAAGCUAUCAGAUGUUUCUGCUUUUGGCGUGCAUUUAAUGUAAAGACUGUGGAACAAAAGGAGACCUUCCUCAGACAUCAUGAAUAAAAGAGAACCACCUUUCAGUGUUGGAAGGUUGCCAUCAGCUGCAAAACGUGUGAUAAAUGGGAUGUGUAAAAUAGUCUUUAUAAUCUCUUCAGGGACUGAUAACUCAGUUCAUACUCCAGUCUGGACAUGAGACUUUCAUGCUGGAGAAGCAGCCCUGUGAGAGAGCAGUGGAGAAGUUAGCCGCAUCUUCCUGAGGAGUUCUGCAGAGGAAGAGCAGUUACAGAGCCUGGUGAGAGAGUUGCAUGGUAACUGCUCAGGUCAAACUGUCUGUUAAUGGUGACAAAGUGGCACGGCACUGUUUGUCAGGACAGAAAAGUAUGGGCUGACCGCCAGUCCUCUUUCUAUCACCGCCUUCAAAAAGUAGUCUGAUCUUAUCUAUUUAUAUACGUUGCUGUGGAGGAAACAAACCAAUUUCAUUUAGUGCAAGGAGAAAUAAAGCUGAAACAAAAGUGUCAGUUUUCUUCUGACAAUAUUCCUGUGCUAUUGUGUCCACACCCUUCCCUCGUGGAGCUGUUGCCAAGUGUUUUGCAACUAUUCGGUGGUUGUUUCUCUGACCUCUGAGCAGGGUGCUUGAAUUUCACUGUACGUGGCACUGAGGAGAGUUGGGGGCUCAGUCGUGCCGUGAGAAUGCUCUACAGUAAGUAUUCUGAUAGGAAUAAUUAUGUACUACUGAGGUGUUUUUUAUUUUUAUUUUCUUUGGCUAGGCAUUCCACUUGUUCAAGAUGCUGAGUGAGGUGUUACAACAGCGUUUGCUGCCCGUUUAUCCCUGCGUGCUGGAGGUGAGAUGGCAGAAGCAAAGCCAGGUGUAGGGAUAGCAGACAGCCGGAUGAGAAGGCUGGACGGGACCAGGUAUGUUGUGUAGUUUUUCGCAGAAUGAAACGUGACUGGGGUUUGGUCUUGAUUUGAGCCUUUGGGCUCCAUAACAAAAUGAGUAUGAAAUAUGAAUAUCUUAGUGCUAAUCUACAGGGUGUUAUUCUACGAGGGGCAAAGUAUGGCUCAGUGGGGGCUGCCAGAUAUGGCGGGUGUGAUGUAUAUUUGUCUCAGGGCUGCCACUGAGAUUCAUUAUUUCCCGCAUUCACUGUCCUUUGUGAUCAAUCUGGAACCUAAAAGGAGCAGCUAAAACCUGUGUACAACUGCACAUGUUAAUUGGAGACAGUAAUUGAAGCUGAGGGACUGUGUGAGUGCAAAAUGAAGCGUCUGUAUGCAUGCAGCAUUGAAGCCUAAUUGAACAGCUUUGCUCGUUAUGCAGAAAUUUUCAGCAUAAUGGAUUUGUUAGAAGAUCAGCUUUAGUAUAGGAAGCUCACAAGCCCCUUUAACUUAGACCCUUUUAUGCAUAUCAGCUCUAUAUUUUAUACAGCAGCAGCAAGGUCAAUGACAGCUGCAUUAAUGCAGCUUUCUGGCCCUCGUGAUACUAGUCACAUAAAAUCCUCGUGCUUUUGUCUUUGCCUACUUACAUGGGUCCCAUUUAGUAAUGUGCAUAGCACUCAGAACUGAAAACCAAUCAGUGUCAAAGACUGAUAGAUGAAUGCUGCUUGGUAGGCACGCUUUGCAAGAGCAUGCUGAUUUCCUGAGAACCAGCUUCAGGGAGCUGCACUGUAUCUGCCGACACUGGCAGCGUGGUUCGUAUGCAAGAGAAACAAGCAGUUCCUUCAAAGGGGAGCAGAGGUGUUGCCGUUAGUUCUUUCCCAAUGAGACUGAGCUUGCUUUGCUUGAAUUCCUUUCUGCUGCUAACAAAAGAGAUAAUUUUGUCCAUCUUGCAGUGCAUUUCUCUUUUAGCCAGAACUAAAUCUUUCUCACUGCUCACCCGUCUGGGAUUCCUGAACCAAUCCAGCAAUUACAGAUGUAGCUAAGGGUACUAGUUAAGUAGUUUGUCACUGCAUGUAAAUGGUGUAAUUUUUAAUACAUUCAUCUCUGAGCAGGUUGUGAGUGUUGGAGAGGUGGAUGUCUGCAUGCUUUUUAUUAUCCAGGAGCACAUGUGACAGGAAGAAGGAAGGAAGUGGCUUUUGUAUUGACUGCUCCCCACCUCUGCCAAAUGUGUUUUUUUUCCCAAUAUUCUGUCCUUGAAACAGCCGUCCCCCGGUCCUGGGGUGAGUGCUCACAAUGUGUGUCUGACCUUGCAGUGAACUGAACCACCUCCUCUUUUCCUUUCAUCUUUUGUGCCAAAUAAAAACAUACUAAGAGCAUUAAUGGGAAUUCUACAACAAUGCUGUCUAAUUGAUAGGUCUUGACCUACUGUUGCAUGAUAUUUUUUCAUACAUCAGUGCUGAUUACCGAGUUCUCUAUUUGACUUUUUUUUCUCUAAGUUCCUAAAGUUAUUAGUAACCCUGCUGUUUCAUACUUUUGUGGCCACAAGUACUCGGAGGAGGAAAUUCUGUGUAUUACGGCAACUGAUAGCCUGUUAGGCUGUGCUUUUUCUCUAACCCAGUUUUUCUUUCUAUCAUUGCAUUUGUAAAUUACAGAUGCUGCUGAGGUAGCUUAAAAACGAAGAUGCAGAUUUUAAUAGACAUGUAAGGCUAUACUUGAGCAUGUCAAAAGAUUGAGCUGGAUGUUAAAGGCUUGUUUUUCCUUUUGCAGGACCUUUUACUUCCAAUGACAAAAUUACUAGACUUGGAGUUGCACUUAACACUGAUUAGAGUGAGAUAAUAAAUACUAGAGGUCAGGGAUAACGAGCACCAUCAAUUACAAGCAGCACCAAAGACAAGUCCUGCCUGACCAACCUUGUGGCCUUCUAUGAUGGCAAAACUGCAUCAGUGGACAAGGGAAGAACCACUGUUGUCAUCCAAGUAAGGCCUUUGACACAGUAGCCCACAACAUCCUUCUGUCCAAAUUGGAAAGAUACAGAUUUGAUGGCUUGUCUAUUUGAUGAAUGAGGAACUGGUUUGCAAGAUCAUACCCAGUGAGUGGUGAUCAGAGAUUGAAGGUCCGGCUGGAUACCACUGAAGAGUAGUUUCCCUCAGGUACCAGUGCUCUUUAAUAUCUUCAUGAACAACAUUGAGAUUGAGUGCACCCUCAGCAAGUUUGUGGAUGACACCAAGCUGUGUGGUGCAGUCAACAUGCCUGAGGGACAGGAUGCCCGAGAGACCUAACAGCUCGAGCAGUGGGCCCAGAUGAACCUCAUGAGGUUCAGUAAAUCCAAGUGCAAGGUCUUGCACCUGGAUUAUGGUAACCUCUACUAUCAAUACAAGCUUGGGGAAGGAAGGAUAGUGAGCACAGCCCUGCGGAAAAGGACCUGGGGGUACCGGUGGAUGGCAAGCUGGAUGUGAGCCAGCAAUGUGUCCUCACAGCCCAGAAAGCCAGCUGUAUCCUGAGCUGCAUCAAAAGAAAUGUAGCCAGUAGGGCAAGCAAGGUGAUCCUGCGCUGGUAAGACCUCACCUGGUGUACUGUGUCCAGAUGUCGAGUCAUCAGUAGAGGAAAGACACGAACCUGUUGGAGCACGUUCAGAGAACGGCCGCAAAAACAAUUCAAGGGAUGGAACUCCUCCCUUAUGAGGACAGGCUGAGAGAGCUGGGGCUGUUCAGCCUGGAAAAGAGAAGGCUUCGGGGAUACCAGAGAGUGGUCUUUCAGUAUCUGAAGGGGAGCUGUAAGAAAGAAGGGGACGGACUGUUCAGCAGGGACUGUGGUGAUAGGUCAAGGCGAAAUAGUUUCAAACUCAAAAGGGGGAGAUUUAGAUUGGACAUAAGGAAAAAGUUUUUUACGAUAAGGGUGGGGAGGCACUGGAACAGGUUCUCCAGAGAAACAGUGAAAGCCCCGUCCCUGGAAACAUUCAAGGUCAGGCUGGACAGGGCUCUGAGCAACCUGAUCUAGCUGUAGAUGUCCCUGCUCACUGCAGGGAGGUUGGACUAGGUGGCCUUUGGAGGUCCCUUCCAACUCAAGCGAUUCUAUGAUCAUUUACUGUGGACAACCUAGGGCACUUUCUGCAAACGUACAUGCAAUAUACAGAGAGAACAUAUGAAAGCAUGCUUAUAAUAAAAGUGGUGUCAGGAGAUUGGAAAAGAAACCCCAGUUCAACCCACUAUAAAAAGUUUUGCAAUUAAAAUUUGGGCCCUGUAAACAAUUCCUUUAUUGAACACUUUUUAGCAAGAAAGCUAAAAUGAAGUCCUUAAUUUUAUUUUUACAUACUCUUUACAUUUAGUUCUAAGUGAUCUUACAGAUGUGAAAGACCCUAAUAGAGAUAUAUACCUCUCUUUGCCUGCUUCUGGUGGUGGACAGAUGUUUUUUUUCCAUCUGUGUUCAGAUGAUAAGCAUUACUAGGACUAAGCCUUCCGUGUUUUGGUCUCAGUAGGGUACUGCCUUUCCAAUUACCCUGUCCUGCUGUUGUAAACUGAUAAACUUACCGCAUCACAUUCCUGCAUUUCCACUAGGGAGUCUGUUACCUGUUCUAACAAAAAUAGGUUAAUUAGUGGCUUUUGGGGUCAAAGAAAUGGCCUUGAUUUGGGAAAUGGAGGAAAAAAAAUGUCUUUCACGCUACCAUUUUUCCUGACAUUACAAUGAGAUAAUGAUUUAUGAGUUUUGACAGUACUUCAUUAAAAAUAGCUGAGCUCCCGUUACCCAUUACUGUCACCUCUGAUUAGUUUGCACGUGGCUAUGACUGUAUUCUUCCUACAUAAUUUAUCUCCUAGAAAAAAAUCACAUCUGUGAAUGGAAAAUAGAACACAUUUUUGUUUGGGAUUUUAACCACCCAGUUAAGGAAGACUCAGAGUUGCCAGUAGAACAAAUUUUGGAAGUGAUAAAAAACUUUUUGUCUUUCUACUUAACAGGAUAUGAGAAGCAGAGAUUGUCUGCUAUUUGCCUACCACGGAGUUUUACACGUUCUUUUGAAACAUUUGGUGCUGGCCACCCCCAUAGCUAGGAAACCAGAUUAAAUAGAUGAUGGGACAAAUCCCACAUUAAAUUCAUUAUUGUUUGAUGCAGGGGGUUCUCAUGAAAUUUAUUGCAUCCUUGCCCUUCCAGCUGGAAAACAGUUGCAGACCAGGCGAGCACGCUCAGGAUGAGAUUUCAGAGAAAAUAAAGCACUGAACUAUUUUUCUGUUAAGUGGUAAACAAGUAAAUGAAAAAAUAUAUGCUCAAGACAUGACUGAGUUGUGAUUUUCACUAGGUAGCCAGACAAAUCAUUUAAGGAUUUAUAAGCUCUUCACCAAUUUUAGUGUGAAAUUCAGAUGAUCGCUGAACAACCCUUACAGGCCUCAUGUAGCUCCAAAGGCUGGCACUGUAGUGACAGCCAGACACCAAUUCAAAGAACUCUCAAUAAAUCCAUGCAAGGUUAAUAUGCUCUGAAGAAAGUGGAAUACAAAUGGCUGCAUUCCAUUGACUGUAAGUAUCAGAUAAUUGGAAAACAUUGACAGGAGUCAAAGGGUCAUAGAAUGGCUUGGGUUGGAAGGGACCCCAAGGAUCAUCAAGUUCCAAUCCCCCUGCUGCAGGCAGUGUUGCCAGCUGCUAGAGCAAGUAC